rnacentral:rRNA from 1 species
UACGUAGGUGGCAAGCGUUGUUCGGAAUUAUUGGGCGUAAAGGGCGCGUAGGCGGUUUGUUAAGUCAGCUGUGAAAGCCCGGGGCUCAACCCCGGAGAGUCGGCUGAUACUGGCAAACUUGAGUACGGAAGAGGUAGCUGGAAUUCCCGGUGUAGCGGUGAAAUGCGUAGAUAUCUGGAGGAAUACCGGUGGCGAAGGCGGCAUCCUGGACCGACAUUGACGCUGAACGGCGAAAGCUAGGGGAGCAAACGGG